rnacentral:rRNA from 1 species
AGAGUUUGAUCCUGGCUCAGGAUGAACGCUGACAGAAUGCUUAACACAUGCAAGUCUACUUGAACUUCGGUUUGGGUGGCGGACGGGUGAGUAACGCGUAAAGAACUUGCCUCACAGUUAGGGACAACAUUUGGAAACGAAUGCUAAUACCUGAUAUUAUGAUUUUAGGGCAUCCUAAGAUUAUGAAAGCUAUAUGCGCUGUGAGAGAGCUUUGCGUCCCAUUAGCUAGUUGGAGAGGUAACGGCUCACCAAGGCGAUGGUGGGUAGCCGGCCUGAGAGGGUGAACGGCCACAAGGGGACUGAGACACGGCCCUUACUCCUACGGGAGGCAGCAGUGGGGAAUAUUGGACAAUGGACCAAAAGUCUGAUCCAGCAAUUCUGUGUGCACGAUGACGUUUUUCGGAAUGUAAAGUGCUUUCAGUUGGGAAGAAAAAAAUGACGGUACCAACAGAAGAAGUGACGGCUAAAUACGUGCCAGCAGCCGCGGUAAUACGUAUGUCACAAGCGUUAUCCGGAUUUAUUGGGCGUAAAGCGCGUCUAGGUGGUUAUGUAAGUCUGAUGUGAAAAUGCAGGGCUCAACUCUGUAUUGCGUUGGAAACUGCAUGACUAGAGUACUGGAGAGGUAAGCGGAACUACAAGUGUAGAGGUGAAAUUCGUAGAUAUUUGUAGGAAUGCCGAUGGGGAAGCCAGCUUACUGGACAGAUACUGACGCUAAAGCGCGAAAGCGUGGGUAGCAAACAGGAUUAGAUACCCUGGUAGUCCACGCCGUAAACGAUGAUUACUAGGUGUUGGGGGUCGAACCUCAGCGCCCAAGCUAACGCGAUAAGUAAUCCGCCUGGGGAGUACGUACGCAAGUAUGAAACUCAAAGGAAUUGACGGGGACCCGCACAAGCGGUGGAGCAUGUGGUUUAAUUCGACGCAA